rnacentral:rRNA from 1 species
UUGCACCUACGGGGGGCAGCAGUGAGGGAUAUUGGUCAAUGGGGGAAACCCUGAACCAGCAACGCCGCGUGAGGGGAGACGGUUUUCGGAUUGUAAACCUCUGUCCUCUGUGAAGAUAAUGACGGUAGCAGAGGAGGAAGCUCCGGCUAACUACGUGCCAGCAGCCGCGGUAAUACGUAGGGAGCGAGCGUUGUCCGGAUUUAUUGGGUUUGAAGGGUGCGUAGGCGGAUCGUUAAGUCAGUGGUCAAAUUGAGGGGCUCAACCCCUUCCCGCCAUUGAAACUGGCGCUCUUGAGUGGAAGAGCA